GCCACGGUGGUCUAGCGGUUAGAACGCUGGCCUUGUAAUCCUGGGGUCUCGGGUUCGAUUCCCGAAGGUGCCC
rnacentral:tRNA from 1 species